rnacentral:rRNA from 1 species
AGUGAACGCUGGCGGUAGGCCUAACACAUGCAAGUCGAACGGCAGCACAGUAAGAGCUUGCGCUUACGAGUGGCGAGUGGCGGACGGGUGAGGAAUACAUCGGAAGCUACUUUUUCGUGGGGGAUAACGUAGGGAAACUUACGCUCAUACCGCAUACGACCUACGUGUGAAAGCAGCGGAUCUUCGGACCUUGCGCGAUUGAAUGAGCCGAUGUCGGAUUAGCUAGUUGGCGGGGUAAAGGCCCACCAAGGCGACGAUCCGUAGCUGGUCUGAGAGGAUGAUCAGCCACACUGGAACUGAGACACGGUCCAGACUCCUACGGGAGGCAGCAGUGGGGAAUAUUGGACAAUGGGCGCAAGCCUGAUCCAGCCAUGCCGCGUGGGUGAAGAAGGCCUUCGGGUUGUAAAGCCCUUUUGUUGGGAAAGAAAAGCAGCAGGCUAAUACCCCGCUGUUCUGACGGUACCCAAAGAAUAAGCACCGGCUAACUUCGUG